UACGGGGGGGGCAAGCGUUGUUCGGAAUUACUGGGCGUAAAGGGCUCGUAGGCGGCCAACUAAGUCAGACGUGAAAUCCCUCGGCUUAACCGGGGAACUGCGUCUGAUACUGGAUGGCUGGAGGUUGGGAGAGGGAUGCGGAAUUCCAGGUGUAGCGGUGAAAUGCGUAGAUAUCUGGAGGAACACCGGUGGCGAAGGCGGCAUCCUGGACCGGUAUUGACGCUGAGGCGCGAAAGCCAGGGGAGCAAACGGG
rnacentral:rRNA from 1 species